rnacentral:tRNA from 1 species
AGUACUACGCCGGAUGAACGGGAAUCAUUGAUGUUGAUUAAUAUAGGACUUAUUGUCUUUAGUGCUA